rnacentral:rRNA from 1 species
CUUAACUGUCUCCCUUUUCCAAUUAAUGAAACUGAUCUUCUCGUGAAGGCUUUAAACUCAUCAUCAUUUACUUUUUUCACAUCAUCACAUAUAGUAAAAAUGUUAACUGAUAGUUUUCGGCUGGGGUGACCCUGGAGAAAAACAAAUCCUCCAGGAUGAACGGAAUAAUAAUCCUAAUCAAAGAGUCACAACUCUAAGAAUCAAAACAUUGACAUCAUUUGAUCCAAUUACUUGAUCAACGAACCAAGUUACCCUGGGGAUAACAGCGCAAUCCAUUUCAAGAGCCCCUAUCGACAAAUGGGUUUACGACCUCGAUGUUGGAUCGGGGUAUCCCAGUGGCGCAGCCGCUAC